rnacentral:rRNA from 1 species
CUUCUGCCAAAACCCAAAUUUUCUAUGGUUGACCUCGGAUCAGGUAGGGAUACCCGCUGAACUUAAGCAUAUCAAAAGCCGGAGGAAAG